rnacentral:rRNA from 1 species
UACGGAGGGUGCAAGCGUUAUCCGGAUUCACUGGGUUUAAAGGGAGCGUAGGAGGGCAGGUAAGUCAGUGGUGAAAUCCCCGUGCUUAACAUGGGAACUGCCGUUGAUACUAUCUGUCUUGAAUAUGGUGGAGGUGAGCGGAAUAUGUCAUGUAGCGGUGAAAUGCUUAGAUAUGACAUAGAACACCAAUUGCGAAGGCAGCUCGCUACACCUAUAUUGACUCUGAGGCUCGAAAGCGUGGGGAUCAAACAGG